GGUGGAUAUGGACGACUAGGCCCAGGGAUGCGAGUUUCCCCCCAACCCCGCCCCCGCCCCUCCCCCCCCUUCCCGAGGCUGUCUCUGUCCUCCCCUGUGCAAGGAGGAGUGGGAUUCCCUGACAGCCCGGGGGUCGCUUGAAGGGGAGACUGGGCAACCAGUCAGCCCCGUGCUUAAGGCCUGUUUUGAAGUAGAAAAGCUUGGAGUCUGCUGAAUGCCUUGUAGUAGAUUAGGUCUGUUUCCACAAUUCAGGAUUCAUUUAUUGCAUUAGCAAAUCCCGAUAUAGAAACUAUUAGUUUUCUGUGGAAUAAAUAUAUGCAUACUUGAGCAAUUUCUAUUUGGUGGGUAACAGCUUUACAUACCGAUGUUUGAAAAGUUUUCAAACUGUCUUCAGGUUUGAUCGCUGCUAGUUAGUGCCAAUAACUUACAAUUAAGCAUGUACCAUGAUCCGUCACUGUACCAGAGCUUUAUAUAUACAAAUCUCAUGGGUUCCCUCCAUUUGAUGCUGUGAGAUAAGUCCUGUUAAUAUUUACCGUAUUCAAAAAAGAAACUGACAUGCCAGUGUUUUGGGACAGAUGACUUACACCAGUGAGCCAGGAAGAAGAGGAAUUUAGUGGUUGAGUGACUGGUUCAAGGUCACACCCAUAAACUAAAGAGCGAAUCUGGGUCUUGAACUAGAGACUUUUGGCCAGCUUGACUUGAAAAACAAACUAACUGUGUUGUGUACGCUGCUGUUCUUUCGUCUGUCCUUACCUUUAUGUGCAAUGAAUUACCAGAAGUCGGAAGUCUUAUAUGUUGGGGGUUGGGUGAGUUAAGAAGUGAAGUGCCUGGUGGGGAUUUUAUGUCGCUGUCAGUUACUAAGCAAAGUGUCCCGCUUUGUCAGCGCUAGAAAUAAACUUUGUGAUAGUCUGUACUAAGUUAUUAACUCCCCUUUCCCUUGUUUCUUGUCUUUGUUCCCACACUCUUUUACCUGAGGUUAUAAAAUGAGAACUUGAGUUUUCAGUGUGGACGAUAUUUAACUAGCACUAGCCAGAAAUAACCUUCAGGAGAAUGUGGCUACUUUCAUUGUUACUGAAUUAACUGCCAAUGAAUUGUAAAUGUUACUGUCACAUCAGUGUACCUUAUUUGAGUAGACUUUUAACACGUGUAAUUGUGUGUUUGAAUCUGUUUUACUGUGACAUUGAUGUUCUUGUGAAAAAUACAGCAGAAGACUGAACAAAUUUCCC
rnacentral:lncRNA from 1 species